UUGCAUUUAAAGAAAAACUUUUCAAAGUAGACUUUCUAAAGAAAGAACAUUAGUUAUUUUCAUGUUAACUUGAGUAAACCAAUAUUUGGUGUGCAACAUAUCAUAAUGUAAAUUAUUUCAACAUGCUUCAAAUUUUCCUUUUUUCAAAAAAAAAACUUUGGGAUGCUGAACAAAUAAAUGACAGUUGAUUUGUAUGCCUAUUGUUGUCGAAGAUUAAUAUGUCAAUUACCGGUAAUUGAAAAACAAUUAAAUUUGCAAACAAUUUUCCUAUAAAAAUAAGGUUACACUCUGCCAUGAAAUAGACGAGUAUUACUUAUUAUAAUUUCUAGUCCAAACAUUUAUAGCCAACAGCUCUGUAUCUAUACAUUGAACUUUCUUCCCUUCACCUAUAUUGCCCUGUUCAGUCAGUCUGCCUACUUGCCAAAAAUGUUCACAUUGUGGCUCACAACUGAUAUUUUACAAUGCUGCUGUGCUGAAACCCUGAUACUGUAUAUGUUGAAAAAAUUGUAAAAAAAUAGUUGGUAUUAGUUUAGGUUAUUACUUUUGAUCUGUUAUGUGCUAUAUGUUUUUUUUCAGCAUUUAAUGAUAUAUGUUAUUUAUAUAUAUAUGAGUAUUGGAUAUACAUUAUUGAAUGACUUUACUAUUAUAAUUUUAUACAUAGUUAUAAAUUAUUCUUACGUAAAACUCAUAUUUUUUUAAUAGAUUAAAAUUUAAGCACAUUUGCUCCUUUUCAUAGCUUCAAUUAAAUGUUGCCUUAGUAGACUUGUAUGAAACUUGUUACCUUCUUAUUUUAAAUCUGAAGCUAUGAAUAUGAAAUUAAAAUGACAUUUGUAGCAAAAUAUUUCAACAACAUAUUUAUCAUUUAUGAUGAUUUAAAUUCUGUUAUACACUUACUUUAG
rnacentral:lncRNA from 1 species